rnacentral:rRNA from 1 species
UAGGGAAUCUUCGGCAAUGGACGAAAGUCUGACCGAGCAACGCCGCGUGAGUGAAGAAGGUUUUCGGAUCGUAAAACUCUGUUGGUAGAGAAGAACGUUGGUGAGAGUGGAAAGCUCAUCAAGUGACGGUAACUACCCAGAAAGGGACGGCUAACUACGUGCCAGCAGCCGCGGUAAUACGUAGGUCCCGAGCGUUGUCCGGAUUUAUUGGGCGUAAAGCGAGCGCAGGUGGUUUAUUAAGUCUGGUGUAAAAGGCAGUGGCUCAACCAUUGUAUGCAUUGGAAACUGGUAGACUUGAGUGCAGGAGAGGAGAGUGGAAUUCCAUGUGUAGCGGUGAAAUGCGUAGAUAUAUGGAGGAACACCGGUGGCGAAAGCGGCUCUCUGGCCUGUAACUGACACUGAGGCUCGAAAGCGUGGGGGAAG